rnacentral:rRNA from 1 species
GAUGAACGCUGGCGGCGUGCUUAACACAUGCAAGUCGAACGAUGAAGCCCAGCUUGCUGGGUGGAUUAGUGGCGAACGGGUGAGUAACACGUGAGUAACCUGCCCUUAACUCGGGGAUAAGCCUGGGAAACUGGGUCUAAUACCGGAUAGGAGCGUCCACCGCAUGGUGGGAGUUGGAGAGAUUUAUCGGUUUUGGAUGGACUCGCGGCCUAUCAGCUUGUUGGUGAGGGAAUGGCUCAGCAAGGCGACGGCGGGGAGCCGGCCUGGGAGGGUGACCGGCCACGCUGGGCCUGGGAUACGGCCCAGACUCCUACGGGAGGCAGCAGUGGAGAAUAUUGCCCAAUGGGCGGAAGCCUGAUGCAGCGACGCCGCGUGGGGGAUGACGUCCUUCGGGUUGUAAACCUCUUUCAGUAGGGAAGAAGCGAUAGUGACGGUACCUGCAGAAGAAGCACCGGCUAACUACGUG